UUUAAAACAUUAUUUUUUUUAAAACACAGUUCUAUCCUAUUUUUUUAACUGUGUAUGUUUUUUCCCUUAACAGGUUGAUGCUAUGAAAAAAACAGAAAGAGGAACAAGAAAUGGAAUUAGAGAUACAAAAAAAAGGAACUGAAUGAAAAGCGGGUAGAAUUGAAUGAGUUAAGGAAAGAAAAGUCCCAAAUGGAAAGCAAACUCAAUUCAAGCAAAACUCAACUUGAUGUAUUGACUUCUUGUUUUACAAAGUAGCACCCUUCAGAUUAAAAUUAAAAUGGACCAAAUUCUACACCUAAUGAUGACAUAGCCUGUAUUUCACCAACAUUACUUGGAACAUUAAGUAACACAUUAAAGUACUUAGUUAAAGAUUGUGAUCCAAAUAGUGGAGAACAAGAUGAUGAAGAAGGCUAUGAAGAUGAAUAUGUAGUGAGUAUUCUUAUUUAUCUUAAAAUGAUGGCUCAAGGAAUGACUCUAUAACAGUUGUGUACAUUCCUUUUUGCUGCAAUGAUGGUGUGUGUAUGAAUUUUCUAUGGAGUGCCUGAACAAUAUAUAUCUAUGCACAUAAGUUAAAAAUGAACAGAAAAUAUGGAAAAUAUUAAAGAUUAAUGAA